rfam:Canis lupus familiaris chromosome 2, whole genome shotgun sequence.
GUGCUUAUUUCAGCACACAUACUAAAAUUGGAGUGGUGCUGGGAAGGUUUGCAUGGUCCCUGUGUAGGAUGACAUUCACAUUCGUGAAGCAUUUGAUAUUUAA